UACGUAGGGUGCGAGCGUUGUCCGGAAUUAUUGGGCGUAAAGGGGCUCGUAGGCGGUUUGUCGCGUCUGCUGUGAAAACUGGGGGCUCAACCCCCCAGCCUGCAGUGGGUACGGGCAGACUAGAGUGCGGUAGGGGAGAUUGGAAUUCCUGGUGUAGCGGUGGAAUGCGCAGAUAUCAGGAGGAACACCGAUGGCGAAGGCAGAUCUCUGGGCCGUAACUGACGCUGAGGAGCGAAAGCAUGGGGAGCGAACAGG
rnacentral:rRNA from 1 species